ACUUAAUAGAAAGCAGUGCUGUAAAAUUUAGUUUGUGGAGGUCAGAGAGACAUGAAUUGAUUUCAUUGGGUUUGUGUUUUAUUAUUUAUCACCAUUUUGUUCAGGUACAUAUGUUUCUAUAAUGUAUUGCGUCUUGACAAGGAUGCAUUAUGCAAGUCCAAGAAAUGGUUUUCUGUGAUAAAAUUAAAUGUAUAUUUGUGACAGUUCAUUUUAUAUUUUUGAGAUUAAAUGAAAAUAUAAUUU
rnacentral:misc_RNA from 1 species